rnacentral:rRNA from 1 species
GACAGAGGAUGCAAGCGUUAUCCGGAAUGAUUGGGCGUAAAGCGUCUGUAGGUGGCUUUUUAAGUCCGCCGUCAAAUCCCAGGGCUCAACCCCUGGACAGGCGGUGGAAACUACCAAGCUGGAGUACGGUAGGGGCAGGAGGGAAUUUCCGGUGGAGCGGUGAAAUGCGCAGAUAUCAGGAGGAACACCGGUGGCGAAGGCGGGGUCUCUGGGCCGAUACUGACGCUGAGGAGCGAAAGCGUGGGGAGCGAACAGG